rnacentral:rRNA from 1 species
GUGCCAGCCGCCGCGGUAAUACGGAGGGUGCGAGCGUUAAUCGGAAUAACUGGGCGUAAAGGGCACGCAGGCGGUGACUUAAGUGAGGUGUGAAAGCCCCGGGCUUAACCUGGGAAUUGCAUUUCAUACUGGGUCGCUAGAGUACUUUAGGGAGGGGUAGAAUUCCACGUGUAGCGGUGAAAUGCGUAGAGAUGUGGAGGAAUACCGAAGGCGAAGGCAGCCCCUUGGGAAUGUACUGACGCUCAUGUGCGAAAGCGUGGAGAGCAAACAGGAUUAGAUACCCUGGUAGUCCACGCUGUAAACGAUGUCGAUUUGGGGGUUGAACUUUAAGUUUGGCGCCCGUAGCUAACGUGAUAAAUCGACCGCCUGGGGAGUACGGCCGCAAGGUUAAAACUCAAAGGAAUUGACGG